rnacentral:rRNA from 1 species
ACCGACUGCUAUUUGGGUGAGGAUAAGCCAUGCGAGUUGAAUGGGAUACCUAAAUUUCCCAUGGCAAACUGCUCAGUAACACAUGAUCAACUUACCCUAUAGAGAAAAAUAACCUCGGGAAACUGAGGAUAAUAUUUCAUAGUUGAAUAGGCUUGGAAAAGUUUUUCAAUAAAAGGGAUAAAAAAAAUGGUUUUUAUCUGCUAUAGGAUAGGAUCGUGGACGAUUAUGGUUGUUGGUGAGGUAACGGCUCACCAAGCCGAUAAUCGAUAGGGGCCGUGAGAGCGGGAGCCCCGAGAUGGGUACUGAGACAACGACCCAGGCCUUACGAGGCGCAGCAGGCGCGGAACCUCCGCAAUACACGAAAGUGUGACGGGGUUACCCCAAAGUGUUCAAUUCUGAACUGUGGUAGGUGAGUAAUGUUCCCUACUAGAAAGGAGAGGGCAAGGCUGGUGCCAGCCGCCGCGGUAAAACCAGCUCUUCAAGUGGUCGGGAUAAUAUUGGGCUUAAAGUGUCCGUAGCCGGUUUAGUAAGUUCCUGGUAAAAUCGGGUAGCUUAACUAUCUGUAUGCUAGGAAUACUGCUAUACUAGAGGGCGGGAGAGGUCUGAGGUACUACAGGGGUAGGGGUGAAAUCUUAUAAUCCUUGUAGGACCACCAGUGGCGAAGGCGUCAGACUGGAACGCGCCUGACGGUGAGGGACGAAAGCCAGGGGAGCGAACCGGAUUAGAUACCCGGGUAGUCCUGGCCGUAAACGAUGCAUACUAGGUGAUGGUACGGCCAUGAGCCAUAUCAGUGCCGUAGGGAAACCGUUAAGUGUGCCGCCUGGGAAGUACGGUCGCAAGGCUAAAACUUAAAGGAAUUGGCGGGGGAGCACCACAAGGGGUGAAGCCUGCGGUUCA